GAUGAACGCUGGCGGCGUGCCUAAUACAUGCAAGUCUAGCGAACGGACGAGAAGCUUGCUUCUCUUAUGUUAGCGGCGGACGGGUGAGUAACACGUGGAUAACCUACCUAUAAGACUGGUAUAACUUCGGGAAACCGGCGCUAAUCCCGGAUAAUAUUUUGAACCGCAUGGUUCAAAAGUGAAAGACGGUCUUGCUGUCACUUAUAGAUGGAUCCGCGCUGCAUUAUCUAGUUGGUAAGGUAACGGCUUACCAAGGCAACGAUGCAUAGCCGACCUGAGAGGGUGAUCGGCCACACUGGAACUGAGACACGGUCCAGACUCCUACGGGAGGCAGCAGUAGGGAAUCUUCCGCAAUGGGCGAAAGCCUGACGGAGCAACGCCGCGUGAGUGAUGAAGGUCUUCGGAUCGUAAAACUCUGUUAUUAGGGAAGAACAUAUGUGUAAGUAACUGUGCACAUCUUGACGGUACCUAAUCAGAAAGCCACGGCUAACUACGUG
rnacentral:rRNA from 1 species